rnacentral:rRNA from 1 species
UUGACCUCGGAUCAGGUAGGAAUACCCGCUGAACUUAAGCAUAUCAAUAAGCCGGAGGAAAGGGUUUAACUAU